AGAAGGUUAUUGGUUUACUGCUGCUAACGAUGAGAGGUUAUAUUUAAUCCAACUUUCUU
rnacentral:tRNA from 1 species